AGGGUAUGGACAGUGGAUUUGCAGGUGUAGAAGAUGAAAUUUAUAAUGUUUAUGAUCAAGCCUAGAGAGGUGGUAAAGAUAUGGUCCAGAGUUUUUAUAGGUCCAGUAAAAAUCUGGACAAGGGCAUGUAUGGUGAUGACCUAGAAACCAGAAUAAAGACCAACAGAUUUGUUCCUGACAAGGAGUUUUCUGGUUCAGACCAUAGGCAGAGAGGCCGAGAGGCUGAGAAGGACCAUUCAGUUUGAAGAAGAUUCUUCUGAUUUGGACAACUUUUUGGAAGAAGCCAGGCAGCAUGGUGGCUCUCAAAGACCCUCAGCAGCCGCCCCAAAGAACAUAAGCAUGAAGGCAAGAAGAGGAGGAAGGAGUAG
rnacentral:lncRNA from 1 species